GAUGAACGCUGGCGGCGUGCUUAACACAUGCAAGUCGAACGAUUAAACUGGCUUCGGCCAGAUAUAGAGUGGCGAACGGGUGAGUAACACGUGACCAACCUGCCCCGCGCUCCGGGACAACCGCUGGAAACGGCGGCUAAUACCGGAUGCUCCGGGGAGGCUCCAUGGCCUCCCCGGGAAAGCCUUAACGGCGCGGGAUGGGGUCGCGGCCCAUUAGGUAGACGGCGGGGUAACGGCCCACCGUGCCCGCGAUGGGUAGCCGGACUGAGAGGUCGACCGGCCACAUUGGGACUGAGAUACGGCCCAGACUCCUACGGGAGGCAGCAGUGGGGAAUUUUGCGCAAUGGGGGCAACCCUGACGCAGCAACGCCGCGUGCGGGACGAAGGCCUUCGGGUUGUAAACCGCU
rnacentral:rRNA from 1 species